GACGAGGGGUCCAAGCGUUGUUCGGAAUUAUUGGGCGUAAAGCGGGUGUAGGCGGCCAUAUAAGUCAGAAGUGAAAGCCCUGGGCUUAACCCAGGAAGUGCUUUUGAUACUGUAUGGCUUGAAUGUGGGAGAGGAUGGUGGAAUUCCUGGUGUAAUGGUGAAAUACGUAGAUAUCAGGAGGAACAUCGGUGGCGAAGGCGGCCAUCUGGCCCAACAUUGACGCUCAGACCCGAAAGCGUGGGGAUCAAACAGG
rnacentral:rRNA from 1 species